rnacentral:rRNA from 1 species
GACGAACGCUGGCGGCGUGCUUAACACAUGCAAGUCGAACGGAAAGGCCCUGCUUUUGUGGGGUGCUCGAGUGGCGAACGGGUGAGUAACACGUGAGUAACCUGCCCUUGACUUUGGGAUAACUUCAAGAAACCGGGGCUAAUACCGGAUAGGAGCUCCUGCUGCAUGGUGGGGGUUGGAAAGUUUCGGCGGUUGGGGAUGGACUCGCGGCUUAUCAGCUUGUUGGUGGGGUAGUGGCUUACCAAGGCUUUGACGGGUAGCCGGCCUGAGAGGGUGACCGGCCACAUUGGGACUGAGAUACGGCCCAGACUCCUACGGGAGGCAGCAGUGGGGAAUAUUGCACAAUGGGCGGAAGCCUGAUGCAGCAACGCCGCGUGCGGGAUGACGGCCUUCGGGUUGUAAACCGCUUUCGCCUGUGACGAAGCGUGAGUGACGGUAAUGGGUAAAGAAGCACCGGCUAACUACGUG